UACAGAGGGUGCAAGCGUUGUUCGGAAUCAUUGGGCGUAAAGGGCGUGUAGGCGGUCUGUUAAGUCAUGUGUGAAAUCCCUCGGCUCAACCGGGGAACGACGCAUGAAAACUGACAAGCUAGAGUACCAAAGAGGGGGGGUGGAAUUCCCGGUGUAGCGGUGGAAAUGCGUAGAUAUCGGGAGGAACACCGGUGGCGAAAGGCGGCCCCC
rnacentral:rRNA from 1 species